AGCUACAUCUUUUAGGUCCUCAUCUGAUUCAAGCAAGAACCAAUUUCUUCUAAUGGCCCUUUCAACGGCUGAAUUCAUGGAGGACAAAUUCUUCAAAAACUUCUUGUGAACCGGACCAUCUGACCAGGACGUCAUCGACAUAGCGAUGGUGGCAGCUCUCCUUUUCUUGUGAUCUUGCGCAGGUGGACUUACUACUUGCUCUCUUACGUCUUGGUCUCCCUCUUCUCGUGCUCCUGC